rnacentral:rRNA from 1 species
GACGUAGGAGGCAAGCGUUAUCCGGAUUUAUUGGGCGUAAAGGGCAAGUAGGCGGUUCUCAAAGUUGGGCGUGACAUCUCCCGGCUCAACUGGGAGGGGUCGUUCAAAACUGCAUAGCUUGAGGGCAGGAGAGGGAAGUGGAAUUCCCGGUGUAGCGGUAAUAUGCGCAGAUAUCGGGAGGAACACCAGUGGCGAAGGCGGCUUCCUGGCCUGUUCCUGACGCUGAGACGCGAAAGCCAGGGUAGCGAACGGGAUUAGAUACCCGGGUAGUCCCUGAG